GGGUGAGUAACACGUGAGCAACCUGCCCUGGACUCUGGGAUAAGCGCUGGAAACGGCGUCUAAUACUGGAUAUGAGACGUGAUCGCAUGGUCGUGUUUGGAAAGAUUUUUCGGUCUGGGAUGGGCUCGCGGCCUAUCAGCUUGUUGGUGAGGUAAUGGCUCACCAAGGCGUCGACGGGUAGCCGGCCUGAGAGGGUGACCGGCCACACUGGGACUGAGACACGGCCCAGACUCCUACGGGAGGCAGCAGUGGGGAAUAUUGCACAAUGGGCGGAAGCCUGAUGCAGCAACGCCGCGUGAGGGAUGACGGCCUUCGGGUUGUAAACCUCUUUUAGCAGGGAAGAAGCGAAAGUGACGGUACCUGCAGAAAAAGCGCCGGCUAACUACGUGCCAGCAGCCGCGGUAAUACGUAGGGCGCAAGCGUUAUCCGGAAUUAUUGGGCGUAAAGAGCUCGUAGGCGGUUUGUCGCGUCUGCUGUGAAAUCCCGAGGCUCAACCUCGGGCCUGCAGUGGGUACGGGCAGACUAGAGUGCGGUAGGGGAGAUUGGAAUUCCUGGUGUAGCGGUGGAAUGCGCAGAUAUCAGGAGGAACACCGAUGGCGAA
rnacentral:rRNA from 1 species